ensembl:lncRNA
GGGGGGGGGGGGUGAAAAUCCCAUCAGAUGAUUAAAAAAUAGGUCAGAGGGAAGAAGCUGCAGCCGGCACUGGGUCCGUGGUGAGAACGCCAUGAAGCUUCCCCAGGGCUUCGGGCCACAAUGGGGUGGGGGAGCUGAGGAGGGUUUGCAGGGGGCGGGUGAGCUAGCAGUGGGGACAAGAAAGCUGUGGGCCCAGCAGCUGGCCCUCUGUCUCCCUCAGCCUGUCUCAUGGGGACACUUUGGAAUUCUACCUGCGGUCCACCUUCUGGCCUUCCUGUACCAUCUUCCUCCUCAAAGGCAGGAAGAUGCAGCUCGUCCUCUGCCCACCCCUACCCCACCCACAAUAUAUACAGAUUCUACCCCAGGAACACUGAGACUGUUGCCCCCACUGAAAACCCUUCUUACCUUCUAGCCUGAGGUCCUCCGGCUGCAAAGGCAGCUGGCUGACUUAUUCUACAUUUCUUGCCCAUCUGAACAAAUUCACCUACCACUGCACUGUCUUUGAAAUCUUGCCAACUCUGCAUCCUGCUUGGGGUCUGCCUUGGCCCUCCAGCUUGUUCUCAGAGAUCCCUUUUCCCUCCUUCCCUCCUUUUCCUCCUUCUCAACUCCUGCCAUGAAACAUAAUAGAGGCCUGGAAAAGGCAAAAGGCAGAGAACAAGGAGGUGUGAGGUAGGAGACCCAGGAGCCUGAGGCAGGUUGAUGAUCUCCAAGCACUUAGUAGAUGGAGGCUAAGUGACUGUGUCUGGAUUGUACAGAACCCUGAGACACCUGGUGGUAUUCCCUUUAUUUAAGCAGUUUAGAGCCACCUCCCACCUUACCUACGUAAUGGUGGGAAGUCCUUUCAGUUGCCUUCCCACAGCCCCUCAUACUGCAGCUUAAUCCAAUUUCCUUUUCUGAGAUCCCUGAAACCCAUGGAGAGAUCAGCACCUACAGCUUGGAGUGGAAGAGAGGCCCGGGACCUACACGCCAUGCUCCGUUCCUCUCAAACCCCAGGCACAGGCAGAAAUCAGGCAGCCAACCAGCGGCCGGAGCAGAGGGACAGACCAGGCAUUAGCAGUGUCAUCUCCAGCUGAGUGGACACCUGGGUCUCAGCCACUGCGAUGGAGGGCACCCAAGGCCAUGUUGGCGCAGAAAUGGAUUGGCUAAAUCUGACCUUGAGUUUAACCCCACUUACCACCCCAGACACAGAUCCACUCUGACACACAAGUCUGAGAUUUCCCCGGGAGCCUGUUGUCUGCUGCCCACCCCCCUCAGUUACCCAAGAAGUGUCACAAGGCGUCCUGCUAACCUCCUUCCACCAGGGCCAUGGGCGGCUGGCACUCUGUGCAGGACCCUGAGACAGCCCCUGGACCUCUAGCCACAGGGGGCAUGAAGCUGGUGUGCCGCCCAUCUCUGCUCCCUCCCCAUGCCUGCCUCCAUUUCUUUCCAAUCAGUGGCACCAGAACCUGACGUUUCUGUGGGUUGGGGAGGGCUGCUUUGGUCAGGUUAAGUCCUCAGCAACUGGACCAGCAACUGGGAAUCAAGAUACUGGGCCAUGGCCUUUGCAUUUCACACACACACACACACUGACCUGGGGUCACCACCCAAGGCUCAGGGCCCCAGGAAUGGGCCGUGUACCAGGGUUCGCAGGCUCCCACUACCCUGGACAUAUUGCCAAGUCCAGCUUGUACUUGGUCUCAUGCCUUGACUCCCAGUGAGUUUGGAAACUGGAAAAACCCGAGUUCUUCCUGAUUCUCCCAUUCGCCCUGCUGCUGCUGGGGGCACGGAGGAAGAGACCAGAGAACACCCCCAGGCAAUUCACACCCUUGAUUUCGUUAGACUGCACAAUGCUGUGAGGUCACCUGGGCAGGGAUCAUGUUCCCCACUUUACAGACAAGGCAGAGAGAAGUUAAGUACCUUGUCAAGGUCACGCAGCUGAUGCCCCAAUGCUGGGCCCUUAUGCUGGCACCAUGCCUUCCCAUGACCCCAAAGAGGAUACUGUUGUUCUUCUCAUUUUACAGAUGAGCAAACUGAUGCUCAGAGGGGUGACUCAGUUUCCCCAGGCUCUCAGUUAUUUUUACCUGCUAUCCCUCUCUCCUCAUAAGGUGUCCCUCUCAACCCAAUUCCACCUUAGAGUCCUUCCCCUUCCUCCAGAGAAAGGCAAGACCCUAAUGCCUCCCCAGAUCACCCAGUGAGCUUUCCCCUGUACUCUGGGAAGUCACUCCUGGUGUCCUGUUCUGCAAAAUUAAACUCCAUUACUCAGCAAAUACCAUCCCAACCUAUGGGGCAGGAGGGGUGGGAAGCAGGACUGAGGAACUGAAAUGGGAGGGACUGGCUCAGAGGCACAGACACGGCCGGCUGGGCCGGGCAUGCUGGCAGUGGAGGAAACCGGGUCCAGACGGGAAGAGCCCGGGAGUCCCAGCUUCCAGGAGCAGGGGUAGGGGGUAGGGACAUUCCUCAGUUCUCUGAACUCCCUGCCCCUGGCAACCAGGCCCACCGCCUCACAUCCAAGCUGGUAGGUGUUUCCAUGUGAGUGGGGAGGGGGCCUGGAUAGCUCUUAGAAAUGGGGGAGGGACGUCACUGGGCAUGCUCCCUGCCAAGCAAUGCUGCCUCCCUCUCCCUGCCCACUCGGAGGUUCAUUACACCUUCAGCUCUGCCCUCGCCCGCCCUCUUGCUUCUCACCUUGGCACCUGUGAGCCAGUAGCCAAGUGAGGGGCAGCAGAGCCAGCUGGAGCUUCCAGCUUCUCCGCCCCUCUCCGUGCCAACCUGACUGCCUAUGGUUCUGGGGACCCCUGUUUGCCCCGGCUGCGGCAAUAGCUCUGGGGGUACCAUGGGGGAGCUUAACAGUUCCCAUUCUGUGCUGGGAGUGAGGAGGGGGGAAAUAGAGCCAUCCUCUGGCCCCAUACUUGCCUCAAGAUCUAAAGCCCCUGAACCUGCCAUCUUUCUUUAAGGAACCCAGGAAGACUUCCAAAGAGAUCAUCUGAGGCAGAGUCCCUUCCUUGCUUGGGCUGUAAUUUCUUCCUCGAGUCUAACCUUGAUUCCUUGCAGAGGGGUGGAAGGGGGCAGAGAUGAAUCGCAGUUUCUUAUAAACCUGGUGGCUUCUUGUUCCCCGAUGACAAUACAGCGGACGAGCUCUGUGGUUCUGGCUCUGAGUCAGGCCCCAUCGCCCGGGCGUCCCCAGUGCCAUCUCCCUCCGCCCCGCCCCAGACUGGAAAAUGAGGCUCACGCUGCUGCCGGAGUCAGUGCUUCCCCUGCUUCCCCUCACGAUCUCGCUUUCCCCUAAAGGGAGGCUUAACCACCUGCCAGUCUGGGAGGGAAUAGGAUGCCGAGGCAAGCAAGGGGCUCUCUGAUCCCUCAGGUAAGUUCGCUGUGUGUGCUGGGCACUCCAGAAAGGCCAGCACCAGGGGGCACUGUCCUCUGGCCUGCCCCUCACCAUGCUUCGGGGUGAACUAUCUCCUCGACACCAUCGCCUGAUCCUCCCCUCACCUCUCAUCCACAGUUCGCUGUUACCGUCUGGGGGGGCGGGAGAGUUUAGCUCCUGCAGCACCCACAAGACCAAGAGCCCUAGGAAGGGGGAGGGACACGAUUGUUCAAUCAGCCUCAUCCACCUACUCACCUGUGGGCCGAAAGCCUGGGCUGGGCAUCCCUCUGGAGCAGGGGGCUCUGGCAGGAAUGACACGGGCUCCCUGUAGACCCCUGGCCCUCUGCUGACCCCCUCUAGCUCCUCCACCCUAUGGAAUUUGGCUCCACUAUCCCCAUUUCCCCCUGCAGGCCUCUCUCUCUCCAGGCACAGGGGAAAGGAGCCAGUCUCCCCUUGACCAUAGCUGUUUCCUCUCCUCUCAUCCCCUCCCUGGUCUGUGAGACCAGAAGAAGAUAAGCAUGAAGAUAGGACGGUGAGGGAGAGGGACCUGACGAGAGACAGGCUUUCUCACCAGGGGUCUUCUAACUCUAAUCCCUGACCCACGGUCUGGCUUGGGGACAUAUGCCUUCUGAUACUGAACCCACCCUCAUCCCUCCUCCCUGGAGACUUCAGGCCCCUGUCACCUGCAGUGGGUCGCAGUGCUCAUCUCUCUACCUCUGGCCUGCACUGCCCCAUGCCAGCCCGAACUCCGCAGCCUUAGAGGGAGGGAUCUACUGUGGAAAACGGAUGCCUCGGUUCAUCUCACAAAUGCGCCCCAGUGUCUUCACUGGAAGUUCUUCCUAAAGUCUAACCUAAUGUUGCUUCUACUGUGGCCCUGCCCAGCACCUCACUGGCUAGAAGCCUGGCCUUCUUUCCAUCUCAGUCAACCUUGCUCCUUCAGGUGAAGCUGGACCCUCAGGCAGAAAGAGAGCCAAGCUCCAAAAGCGAAAACAAAAGUCUUCGCUCAUCCCCAGUGCUCGAUCUACACGCCUCGUCAGCCGCUGCCCCCAGCCACCACAGAAACCCACAGGGCAUUGGAGCUUUCAUCCCAAAAUGAGUCAGGGCCCCCCAGAGGGGUUGAGCUGGGGCACAGGAAUUUCCCUUCAUGCCAAGCAGGGGCUGUACUUGACAUCGACCUCUGUCCAGCCUCCUUGACCCAAAGAGGCAAGAUUGGCUCUCCCACCAGGAGAGGUCGGAUUUCUUGUGGGCAAACCCAGCUGGCCCUGGAAGCACCUUCUGCCUGGCCUCUUUUAACACCAAAUUUUCUCUUUUAAUACCAAAUUUUCUCCCUAAGUUUGAUGCUAAAGGGGGAUGCAUGGAGAGUGCCUAAGUAUGGAGUUGGGGACAAGAAGUGCUGGAGCCUGCUGAGUUGUACUCUAUGCCUGCUGCACCUCAUGCCCCACAGUAGCCCCCACAUCUUCAUUCCAAGGAAGUAAUGGAAAUAGAAGUGUCUCCCUAGGACUGUGGCCCCAGGGGACUCUCAAGCAGGUGCCAAGAGGCCACCUGCAAAUCUCCUAGCUCCUUCUUUCUCCUCUUGCGCUCAAGAGAGCAGGAAGAUUUUCCCAAUGGGGAGAGAAGUGCUGGGAGUGGGCCCAGGGCCAGUGAGAUGGCUGGCCAGGAGAGUGAAGGCAGCAGGUGGUCCAGCUGACCCCUGUGGAAGGUGGCAUACUCCCCCGACCCUGCGCCCUGCACCGCAUAUAUUCUCUCCCUCCAAAAUAGCAUCUCUGGAGGGGGAGAACUCAGCUCAUCGUUCACUCCUUCCCACAGUGUGUUCACAGCUCUCUCACUGUCUCUCGCGACCUGGUUUCCCUGCCAGGCCCUUCUGCUCUGCCUUCACCCUCUCCACCUCACUCUUCCAGGUCCCAGGACACCUCUGGCAGAGAGGAAGCCUCCCUCUCCUCGGCCCAUCACGUUCGCCAUCUCCCACCUCCAAGCUGGGGCUGCCGCAUCAUUCCUUACCUUCUUUGGGACAGAAGUAAAUUCAAUGCACAAAGAUCAAGCACCAAAAGUGUUUGUGGGGGUCUGCGUGGUAGACACUGGGACAGGGGAGAAAUAUGUCAAAUAGCACAUAUUUCUUUCUCCGAGGAUCUCACAAGGGAUUGGUCUGACCCUCGGGAACAACCUGCAGGUAAAGGUGGAGCGGAGACCUCUAACAGAGCUGGGAGUCCCCUCUCCAUCCCACCCCAUGGGCCUAGGGCCAGGGUUUCACACUAGACCCUGAUCCUCUUCAUGCCACUUCUGGAAUCUACUCAGAAGCUCCCUUGCUAUUGUUUGGACUAUUCCUCAUGCAGAAUGUUCCUGUGAGUGGCUCCCAGGCUGGCAGGGGAAGUUUGGGCCAUGUCCUGGGAAAUGCCCAAUCUGAUGGGGUAGCAGGACACAGACUGAAGAAAACAACUCCCUAGUUGGGCAAAGCUGGGGUCACCACAGCUGGGAGGGGCCCCGGGGAGAAGGCUCCCAGAGGAGGGAAGGGUGGGUGAAGUAGGCCCCAAAGAAGGACAGGGGCAGGGCUGGGUGUUGGGGCCGAGAGAAGUGCGAGGCUGGGAUGGGGAAUCUGCCCAG